UUAAUGGGUGAUGGCGUGCCUUUUGUAGAAUGAACCGGCGAGUUACGAUUUGAUGCAAGGUUAAGCAGUAAAUGUGGAGCCGUAGCGAAAGCGAGUCUGAAUAGGGCGUUUAGUAUUUGGUCGUAGACCCGAAACCAGGUGAUCUACCCUUGGUCAGGUUGAAGUUCAGGUAACACUGAAUGGAGGACCGAACCGACUUACGUUGAAAAGUGAGCGGAUGAACUGAGGGUAGCGGAGAAAUUCCAAUCGAACCUGGAGAUAGCUGGUUCUCUCCGAAAUAGCUUUAGGGCUAGCCUCAAGUGAUGAUUAUUGGAGGUAGAGCACUGUUUGGACGAGGGGCCCCUCUCGGGUUACCGAAUUCAGACAAACUCCGAAUGCCAAUUAAUUUAACUUGGGAGUCAGAACAUGGGUGAUAAGGUCCGUGUUCGAAAGGGAAACAGCCCAGACCACCAGCUAAGGUCCCAAAAUAUAUGUUAAGUGGAAAAGGAUGUGGCGUUGCCCAGACAACUAGGAUGUUGGCUUAGAAGCAGCCAUCAUUUAAAGAGUGCGUAAUAGCUCACUAGUCGAGUGACACUGCGCCGAAAAUGUACCGGGGCUAAACAUAUUACCGAAGCUGUGGAUUGUCCUUUGGACAAUGGUAGGAGAGCGUUCUAAGGGCGUUGAAGCAUGAUCGUAAGGACAUGUGGAGCGCUUAGAAGUGAGAAUGCCGGUGUGAGUAGCGAAAGACGGGUGAGAAUCCCGUCCACCGAUUGACUAAGGUUUCCAGAGGAAGGCUCGUCCGCUCUGGGUUAGUCGGGUCCUAAGCUGAGGCCGACAGGCGUAGGCGAUGGAUAACAGGUUGAUAUUCCUGUACCACCUAUAAUCGUUUUAAUCGAUGGGGGGACGCAGUAGGAUAGGCGAAGCGUGCGAUUGGAUUGCACGUCUAAGCAGUAAGGCUGAGUAUUAGGCAAAUCCGGUACUCAUUAAGGCUGAGCUGUGAUGGGGAGAAGACAUUGUGUCUUCGAGUCGUUGAUUUCACACUGCCGAGAAAAGCCUCUAGAUAGAAAAUAGGUGCCCGUACCGCAAACCGACACAGGUAGUCAAGAUGAGAAUUCUAAGGUGAGCGAGCGAACUCUCGUUAAGGAACUCGGCAAAAUGACCCCGUAACUUCGGGAGAAGGGGUGCUCUUUAGGGUUAACGCCCAGAAGAGCCGCAGUGAAUAGGCCCAAGCGACUGUUUAUCAAAAACACAGGUCUCUGCUAAACCGUAAGGUGAUGUAUAGGGGCUGACGCCUGCCCGGUGCUGGAAGGUUAAGAGGAGUGGUUAGCUUCUGCGAAGCUACGAAUCGAAGCCCCAGUAAACGGCGGCCGUAACUAUAACGGUCCUAAGGUAGCGAAAUUCCUUGUCGGGUAAGUUCCGACCCGCACGAAAGGCGUAACGAUUUGGGCACUGUCUCAACGAGAGACUCGGUGAAAUCAUAGU
rnacentral:rRNA from 1 species